UUUGUAUUUCUUGCCUAAGAAGGUUGAGUCAUUGUCAUUUGGUUUGGUUUUCUUCAACAUGCAUCUGUUGAGCAGAUGAAGCAAAGCUAGAACUGGCCUAAAAAAAAAAAAUUGGGUUUGUAUUUCUUGACUAAGAAGGUUGAGUCAUUGUCAUUUGGUUUGGUUUUCUUCAACAUGCAUCUGUUGAGCAGAUGAAGCAAAGCUAGAACUGGCCUAAAAAAAAAAAAAUUGGGUUUGUAUUUCUUGACUAAGAAGGUUGAGUCAUUGUCAUUUGGUUUGGUUUUCUUCAACAUGCAUCUGUUGAGCAGAUGAAGCAAAGCUAGAACUGGCCUAGUUAGACCGCAGGUUCUCGUCACAUACAUUUUUACCCCCUCAAGAGAAAAUAGAAUCCCCAUAAUGAAGGUUAACAAGUUGGAAAACAACAAAUAUUACCUUCAUUGUCAUAACAAUUACGGGAAGGAGUGAGAGUCUCCAUUGUCACUGCUCUGUUUUGCUCUGGUCCUAGUCUUAGCAAUCUCUCUCCUCCAUUCCCUCUCUCUCCUUCAUCACCUUUGAACACUCUUUCUACUUCAUCACAUUUGAGCACUCUCUCAUCUCAGCUCAUGCAUGUUCUUCCCCCCUCCACUCCUCCUCGGCGAUGCCCUCUGUCAUGGUUGUGAAGCCUACUUCUGAUGCUAGGACAAGUGGGGAAGCUGGGCCUAUUGUCUAGAGCCCAAUAACAGCACAAGGUCCAAUGUGGCAAAGUGAAUGAGUUCGAAGAAGCACAUGGAAAGUGAGGGAGCAAAAUCUGAUGCAUAUGCUUGCAAGAGCAGGGUCCUGCUAUUAAACGCCUUCAAGAACAUCUUGAUGAACGGGAUGCUCUUUUUCAUGAUCAGGUAGCAUUGACGGAUUAUCAUCUAGAGCAUGUUGAGUCGACCAUGCACGCUUUUAUUUUGUAGCUGGAGUCCUUUAAUUUGCUCAUUGUUUCAAUCAGCUCUUAUAGUGUCCUCCAUUUAAUCCAUUUUCUUUAUAGCUAGUGCCUCUAUUGCCUCUGCAACCUCCACCACAGCCAUUCCAACUUUGUCAAGUUAAGCUAGACUUCUCACAGUUUGAUGGCUUUAACCCUCUCAAUUGGCUUUUUCAUGCCGAGCAAUUUUUUAAUAUUACGACACCCUUAGUGAGCAUCAUUUGUUAGUUGCUUUUGUUCAUUUUGAUGGUACUAUUGUUCCCUAGUUUCAAAUGUUGGAGAAAUCUAAUCAAAUUCCCACACGGGUUGAUUUAGCUCGGGCGAUCAAGGAUCAUUACAGUCUUUCUCAUUUUGAGUGCCUUCGUGUGAAGUUGUUUAAGCUUACUCAAGUUAAGUCUUUUAACUCUUGUUAUCAUGAAUUUGUUACAUGGCUAAUUGUGUUGAUGGUUUAGAUGACGCUGCCCUGUUACACUGUUUCAUCAAUGGUUUGAAGUCUAAUCUCUAACGUGAGGUACUUGCUCGAGAGCCCCUUAUGUUGUUGCAAGCAACCACCUUAGCUUAUCUUUUAUCCAACAAAUCUUACACAUCAUUGCUUGCUUCACGACUAAGGGUGGGUGAACCCACAGGGUCUUUAACGUCCUCACCUUCUAUUGCAAGUGGCACUGGUUUAUCAUUUGUUGGCUCUGUUACUGGUCUGAAGGUUUCUUAGCUCCCAUUAUUGCCCACUCCUUCUUCUAAACUACGAUAUUUUAAUUCGUCGAAUAUCACUAGCCAAGAUGUAGUUACAUCGAGAGAAAGGCCUCUAUUAUAAUUACGAUGAAAAGUUCUCAUAGUCUCAUGGAAUCAUAAGUGUCCCCAUAAGCAACUCUUAAUGCUUAUUUCAGAGUCGGAUUCUUUAGAUGCCUUGUUAAUUGAGGAGACCACCCUCGAGUCAAAGGAGGACAUUUCAGUCGUUGCUAAUAUAGCUACUCUCUACCACAUUUCUUUACAAACAUUUAAUGGAGCUGAGAGUCAUUCUACCAUACAUUUUAUUGGUAUUAUUAAUGGAACUUAGGUUUAGAUCUAACUCGAUAAUGGUGCAUCUGAUUACUUCAUCCAUCCUCAGAUUGUUCAUCAUUUCAAAUUACCUAUAAAGCCUUCUUCUGUUAUGUAAAUUGGCUACUGUUUCAAAAUGACAAGGGAUGGAAUGGUUCAUGACAUUCCUCUCACUAAGUAAGGGUACUCUAUUCUCGUUCACACCGAUAUCCUUGUAAUCGCAGGAUCAGAUAUGAUCAUCGAAUCUGCAUGACUUGGUACCUUGGGUGACCAUAUCACCAACUAUCACAUAGCAACUUUGAAAUUUGUGUUGAAUGCUUUUUAUGUGAUUCUCCAAGGGUAUCACCUGAAUUUGCCACAACCCGCUCAACUUAACCAGCUAUGACAAUUAUCUUCUAUUGAAGCUAUUGUUGAUAGUUUUCUGCUGAGUUACUCAGAGUGUGCCACAUCACCACACCCUUUGUUUCUCCUUUCGAUUUGUCUAUUGACUUAGUUUCUCUGGUUCAUCAAUAUGAGCAGGUAUUCCAGGCUUCUUGUGGUCUACCUCUACCACGCAAGCAUGAUCAUUGUAUUCUUUUACUAGAAGCUAUGCCCCCAUAAAGUUUUGGCUAUAUCAAUAUCCUGUCAUUCAAAAAGACAAAAGAAAGAUGGCAUUUGGCAUUUUUGUAUGGAUUAUCAUGCUCUGGAUGCUGUCACCAUUAGGGAAGUGUUUCCUAAACUGAUGGUUGACGAGUUGCUGGAUAAGCUGCAUGGUUCUCAAUUCUAUUCAAAGAUUGAUAUUCGUUUUAGGUAUCGUCAGGUGAUGGUUCACCUAACCAAUUGGUUUAAGACUACAUUUUGGACCCACCGUGGCCAUUAUGAGUGGAUUGUCAUGCUGUUUGUUUUUAAUAAACAUACACGGCUACCUUUUAAGUUUUAA